UGUGAGAGCAAGAGCCCGGAGAUGGAUUCUGAGACACGAAUCCAGGCCCUACGGGGUGCAGCAGGCGCGAAAACUUUACAAUGCCGGCAACGGCGAUAAGGGGACCUCGAGUGCCAGGUUACAAAUCUGGCUGUCGUGAUGCCUAAAAAGCAUUGCAUAGCAAGGGCCGGGCAAGACCGGUGCCAGCCGCCGCGGUAACACCGGCGGCUCGAGUGGUAACCGUUAUUAUUGGGUCUAAAGGGUCUGUAGCCGGCCGGAUAAGUCUCUUGAGAAAUCCAGCAGCUCAACUGUUGGGCUUUCAGGAGAUACUGUCUGGCUCGAGGCCGGGAGAGGUGAGAGGUACUUCAGGGGUAGGGGUGAAAUCUUGUAAUCCUUGAAGGACCACCAGUGGCGAAGGCGUCUCACCAGAACGGACCUGACGGCAAGGGACGAAAGCUAGGGGCACGAACCGGAUUAGAUACCCGGGUAGUCCUAGCCGUAAACGAUACUCGCUAGGUGUCGGCCACGGUGCGACCGUUGUCGGUGCCGUAGGGAAGCCGUGAAGCGAGC
rnacentral:rRNA from 1 species